GGAGAGAAAUGAAACCCCUGUCAACUAGGAGGUAGUGUCCAUAAGGAACUGCAAGGGAAGUGGAGUCAAAGUGCUUGACAGCAGAGCGAGGAAAAAACUGAACUUCUUGGGAGAAUCUGAACUACAAAUGUCCUUUCUGCAUCUGAGUAUAAAGGAGGAUUGUCUCUGCCCAUCUUCCAGAAGCAAUAUGACCUAAGUCUGAAUUUUGGUUGGUCAUCAGUACUGAGAAGGCACAAAAAUCUCAGUUCUUGUUGUGGACUGCAAAAUUUCUGCAAAAGAUUCAAGUUAUGCUACAGCUGAAUAUGCAGACUGUAAUAAUGAAAAUCACAGAAGAUUAGUUGCAUAAGGAAAAAAGCAGGUCAAAAAGAAUCAGGUAUCAAGGCAUGGAAAUACCACAAUAUUUGCAUUGUUACUUUUAUAAAUGGAAAAAAUAGAGAGAGAGACUUAGUUUGUCUGUCU